GUGGGGAAUUUUGGACAAUGGGCGCAACCCUGAUCCAGCCAUCCCGCGUGUGCGAUGAAGGCCUUCGGGUUGUAAAGCACUUUUGGCAGGAAAGAAAUCGCACGGGAUAAUACCUCGUGUGGAUGACGGUACCUGCAGAAUAAGCACCGGCUAACUACGUGCCAGCAGCCGCGGUAAUACGUAGGGUGCAAGCGUUAAUCGGAAUUACUGGGCGUAAAGCGUGCGCAGGCGGUUCGGAAAGAAAGAUGUGAAAUCCCAGGGCUUAACCUUGGAACUGCAUUUUUAACUACCGGGCUAGAGUGUGUCAGAGGGGGGUGGAAUUCCGCGUGUAGCAGUGAAAUGCGUAGAUAUGCGGAGGAACACCGAUGGCGAAGGCAGCCCCCUGGGAUAACACUGACGCUCAUGCACGAAAGCGUGGGGAGCAAACAGGAUUAGAUACCCUAGUAGUCC
rnacentral:rRNA from 1 species